rnacentral:misc_RNA from 1 species
GAUGAAGAACGUAGCGAAAUGCGAUAAGUAAUGUGAAUUGCAGAAUUCAGUGAAUCAUCGAAUCUUUGAACGCACAUUGCGCCCCCUGGUAUUCCGGGGGGCAUGCCUGUUCGAGCGUCAUUUCAACCCUCAAGCUCUGCUUGGUAUAGAGUCCAUGUCAGCAAUGGCAGGCUCCAAAAUCAGUGGCGGCGCCGCUGGGUCCUGAACGUAGUAAUAUCUCUCGUUACAGGUGCUCGGCGUGCUUCUGCCAAAACCCCAAUUUUUCUAUGGUUGACCUCGGAUCAGGUAGGGAUACCCGCUGAACUUAAGCAUAUCAAUAAGCGGAGGA